rnacentral:rRNA from 1 species
ACUAAGCGUACACGGUGGAUGCCCUGGCAGUCAGAGGCGAUGAAGGGCGUGCUAAUCUGCGAUAAGCGCCGGUAAGGUGAUAUGAACCGUUAUAACCGGCGAUACCCGAAUGGGGAAACCCAGUGUGAUUCGUCACACUAUCAUUAACUGAAUCCAUAGGUUAAUGAGGCGAACCGGGGGAACUGAAACAUCUAAGUACCCCGAGGAAAAGAAAUCAACCGAGAUUCCCCCAGUAGCGGCGAGCGAACGGGGAGGAGCCCAGAGCCUGAAUCAGCAUGUGUGUUAGUGGAAGCGUCUGGAAAGGCGCGCGAUACAGGGUGACAGCCCCGUACACAAAAGCGCAUGUGCUGUGAGCUCGAUGAGUAGGGCGGGACACGUGGUAUCCUGUCUGAAUAUGGGGGGACCAUCCUCCAAGGCUAAAUACUCCUGACUGACCGAUAGUGAACCAGUACCGUGAGGGAAAGGCGAAAAGAACCCCGGCGAGGGGAGUGAAAAAGAACCUGAAACCGUGUACGUACAAGCAGUGGGAGCACCCUUCGGGGUGUGACUGCGUACCUUUUGUAUAAUGGGUCAGCGACUUAUAUUCUGUAGCAAGGUUAACCGAAUAGGGGAGCCGGAGGGAAACCGAGUCUUAAUUGGGCGUUAAGUUGCAGGGUAUAGACCCGAAACCCGGUGAUCUAGCCAUGGGCAGGUUGAAGGUUGGGUAACACUAACUGGAGGACCGAACCGACUAAUGUUGAAAAAUUAGCGGAUGACCUGUGGCUGGGGGUGAAAGGCCAAUCAAACCGGGAGAUAGCUGGUUCUCCCCGAAAGCUAUUUAGGUAGCGCCUCGUGAAUUCAUCUCCGGGGGUAGAGCACUGUUUCGGCUAGGGGGCCAUCCCGGCUUACCAACCCGAUGCAAACUGCGAAUACCGGAGAAUGUUAUCACGGGAGACACACGGCGGGUGCUAACGUCCGUCGUGAAGAGGGAAACAACCCAGACCGCCAGCUAAGGUCCCAAAGUCAUGGUUAAGUGGGAAACGAUGUGGGAAGGCCCAGACAGCCAGGAUGUUGGCUUAGAAGCAGCCAUCAUUUAAAGAAAGCGUAAUAGCUCACUGGUCGAGUCGGCCUGCGCGGAAGAUGUAACGGGGCUAAACCAUGCACCGAAGCUGCGGCAGCGAACGUAUCACCCAAGACAACUUUACGGAGUUGACGAUUGACGGAGCGAAGCGACGUCAAAGCGUUCAUUAAAGUCGAGUUGGCUUAGGGAUACGUUCGUUGGGUAGGGGAGCGUUCUGUAAGCCUGUGAAGGUGUGUCGUGAGGCAUGCUGGAGGUAUCAGAAGUGCGAAUGCUGACAUAAGUAACGAUAAAGCGGGUGAAAAGCCCGCUCGCCGGAAGACCAAGGGUUCCUGUCCAACGUUAAUCGGGGCAGGGUGAGUCGACCCCUAAGGCGAGGCCGAAAGGCGUAGUCGAUGGGAAACGGGUUAAUAUUCCCGUACUUGGUGUUACUGCGAAGGGGGGACGGAGAAGGCUAUGUUGGCCGGGCGACGGUUGUCCCGGUUUAAGCGUGUAGGUGUGUGUUCCAGGUAAAUCCGGUUCACUUUAACACUGAGGCGUGACGACGAGGCACUACGGUGCUGAAGCAACAAAUGCCCUGCUUCCAGGAAAAGCCUCUAAGCAUCAGGUAACAUCAAAUCGUACCCCAAACCGACACAGGUGGUCAGGUAGAGAAUACCAAGGCGCUUGAGAGAACUCGGGUGAAGGAACUAGGCAAAAUGGUGCCGUAACUUCGGGAGAAGGCACGCUGACACGUAGGUGAAGUGAUUUACUCAUGGAGCUGAAGUCAGUCGAAGAUACCAGCUGGCUGCAACUGUUUAUUAAAAACACAGCACUGUGCAAACACGAAAGUGGACGUAUACGGUGUGACGCCUGCCCGGUGCCGGAAGGUUAAUUGAUGGGGUCAGCGCAAGCGAAGCUCCUGAUCGAAGCCCCGGUAAACGGCGGCCGUAACUAUAACGGUCCUAAGGUAGCGAAAUUCCUUGUCGGGUAAGUUCCGACCUGCACGAAUGGCGUAAUGAUGGCCAGGCUGUCUCCACCCGAGACUCAGUGAAAUUGAACUCGCUGUGAAGAUGCAGUGUACCCGCGGCAAGACGGAAAGACCCCGUGAACCUUUACUAUAGCUUGACACUGAACAUUGAGCCUUGAUGUGUAGGAUAGGUGGGAGGCUUUGAAGUGUGGACGCCAGUCUGCAUGGAGCCGACCUUGAAAUACCACCCUUUAAUGUUUGAUGUUCUAACGUGGACCCGUAAUCCGGGUUGCGGACAGUGUCUGGUGGGUAGUUUGACUGGGGCGGUCUCCUCCUAAAGAGUAACGGAGGAGCACGAAGGUUGGCUAAUCCUGGUCGGACAUCAGGAGGUUAGUGCAAUGGCAUAAGCCAGCUUGACUGCGAGCGUGACGGCGCGAGCAGGUGCGAAAGCAGGUCAUAGUGAUCCGGUGGUUCUGAAUGGAAGGGCCAUCGCUCAACGGAUAAAAGGUACUCCGGGGAUAACAGGCUGAUACCGCCCAAGAGUUCAUAUCGACGGCGGUGUUUGGCACCUCGAUGUCGGCUCAUCACAUCCUGGGGCUGAAGUAGGUCCCAAGGGUAUGGCUGUUCGCCAUUUAAAGUGGUACGCGAGCUGGGUUUAGAACGUCGUGAGACAGUUCGGUCCCUAUCUGCCGUGGGCGCUGGAGAACUGAGGGGGGCUGCUCCUAGUACGAGAGGACCGGAGUGGACGCAUCACUGGUGUUCGGGUUGUCAUGCCAAUGGCACUGCCCGGUAGCUAAAUGCGGAAGAGAUAAGUGCUGAAAGCAUCUAAGCACGAAACUUGCCCCGAGAUGAGUUCUCCCUGAGACUUAGAGUCUCCUGAAGGAACGUUGAAGACGACGACGUUGAUAGGCCGGGUGUGUAAGCGCAGCGAUGCGUUGAGCUAACCGGUACUAAUGAACCGUGAGGCUUAACC